rnacentral:rRNA from 1 species
GAUGAACGCUGGCGGCGUGCCUAAUACAUGCAAGUCGAGCGAACAGAUGAGGAGCUUGCUCCUCUGACGUUAGCGGCGGACGGGUGAGUAACACGUGGAUAACCUACCUAUAAGACUGGGAUAACUUCGGGAAACCGGAGCUAAUACCGGAUAAUAUAUUGAACCGCAUGGUUCAAUAGUGAAAGACGGUUUUGCUGUCACUUAUAGAUGGAUCCGCGCCGCAUUAGCUAGUUGGUAAGGUAACGGCUUACCAAGGCAACGAUGCGUAGCCGACCUGAGAGGGUGAUCGGCCACACUGGAACUGAGACACGGUCCAGACUCCUACGGGAGGCAGCAGUAGGGAAUCUUCCGCAAUGGGCGAAAGCCUGACGGAGCAACGCCGCGUGAGUGAUGAAGGUCUCCGGAUCGUAAAACUUUGUUAUUAGGGAAGAACAAAUGUGUAAGUAACUAUGCACGUCUUGACGGUACCUAAUCAGAAAGCCACGGCUAACUACGUG